rnacentral:lncRNA from 1 species
GUUAGACCUCUAGUCUAAGCUGGCCCACACUGAGCCUGCAGAGAAGCUAAAAUGAGGCUGUGGCUGCUGAGUUUAGUGGCAGGGAUCAUCCUGGGGGUGGCCGGGACCCCCCUGGGAAAAGCCUCAACAGGAAGAGAACGAGCAAAGGAGGAAAAGACAGCAUCGAAUGACGAUGAUAUCCCUAAAACUUCACUCAGUUGUAUUGGUAGCUGCACUAAAUCUCAGAUACACCAUUUGGAUAGUUCUGAGAAAGAAAAAGGAGAAGGAAAAGAACAAACAGAGCCUGAUCCCUACAAAGAGUCCCCAGGUACCCUGGACCUUCAAAGGACCAUCCUCCUCCAGCUGCUUAACCAGACAACAGUGAUGAUGUUUCAUAAUGACACUCAUAUUGACUAUCAAGCUAAGAAAGUCACACACCAGGCUGAGAACCUCAGAGAAGGGUGGUGCUCUGGCUGCUGUGAAGACAAUGGAACCCUGGGGGCCCUUGAGAGAAGAGAGGGAGAAGAAGUCAAAGAAGUGCCUCCUAUUAGCACUGAUCAUGGUGGUCAGGUCCUAGGGAACUCUGGUUCCACAGAGAAGAGAUUGGCUCACCUUUCUGAAGUUUCCCAUGAAGCUAGAGGGCAGUUUGAUCUCGGACUUAGUAAAUACCCUACAGAAACCUUUCCUGUCUUCCCCACAAGCUAAACCAUGCUCUAGUCUACCUUGAAUAAGACCUAGUGCAAUGCCCAGCAGGAACAGAGCACCACGAGAAAUACUUUACUUAUGCUAAAGCAAUAAUUCUGGGAAAUAAAAGGUCCUGUGUUCCAUUCCCUCCA